rnacentral:lncRNA from 1 species
CAAAACAGUGUCCAAGAGGCCUCAAAUGGGAGAUGCAAAAGCACUUAUGUGGUGUACAAGCAAUCAUCUUUGGAUGCUUUGAAGACUGAAAGAAAUUCUUCAUAUUUUGUAACUAACAAGUCCUUAAAAGGAGACAAAGGAAUCCAAGAGAGGAUACAAGGCUUUACGAGGAGAAAAUACAUUUAAGAAUGAAGGUUACACUUUGAGCCAAG